GUAGGUAUAGCUCAGUGAUAAAGUGCAUGCUUAGCAUGCACGAGGUCCUGGGUUCAAUCCUCAGUUUCUCCA
rnacentral:tRNA from 1 species